UUGCUAACUCCUGUUUCUAGCGGCGGACGGGUGAGUAACGCGUGAGCAACCUGCCUUUAUCAGGGGGAUAACGCAUCGAAAGAUGUGCUAAUACCGCGUAAGACCACAGCCUCACAUGGGGCAGGGGUCAAAGGAGCAAUCCGGAUAAAGAUGGGCUCGCGUCCGAUUAGCUAGUUGGUGAGAUAACAGCCCACCAAGGCGACGAUCGGUAGCCGACCUGAGAGGGUGAUCGGCCACAUUGGAACUGAGAGACGGUCCAGACUCC
rnacentral:rRNA from 1 species